AGUUCAGAUGAACCAGCAGAAAAACGGGAAAGAAAAGAUAAAGUUUCUAAAGAAACAAAGAAGCGACGUGAUUUCUAUGAGAAGUAUCGUAACCCCCAAAGAGAAAAAGAAAUGAUGCAAUUGUAUAUCAGAGAAAAUGGUUCUCCUGAAGAACAUGCAAUCUAUGUUUGGGAUCAUUUCAUAGCUCAGGCUGCUGCUGAGAAUGUGUUUUUCGUUGCUCACAGCUAUGGAGGACUUGCUUUUGUUGAACUGAUGAUUCAACGAGAAGCAGAUGUAAAAAAUAAGGUAACUGCUGUGGCAUUGACAGACUCUGUUCACAAUGUGUGGCAUCAAGAAGCUGGCAAAACGAUUCGAGAAUGGAUGAGAGAGGUGAGACUUGGUUUUUUUUUAGUGCUGAGAUGAAUGGGUGUGAGCCUUUAUAUCUUGAGCCCCCACCAACCUGUAACACCUCCCAUCCUCAAACUCCCUUUCUAGAGGCAGAACAUUGAGGGAAAUAGAAAAAGCUAGACAUGCUUAAAAUAAUAAUAGAAAACCCAUGUGAAGACCUAAUAUUUUUG
rnacentral:sRNA from 1 species